ACCGAAAUAGCUCAGUUGGGAGAGCGUUAGACUAUAGAUGGAAAAGUCCUUGGUUCGAUCCCGGGUUCAGGAA
rnacentral:tRNA from 1 species